rnacentral:rRNA from 1 species
UACGUAGGCAGCGAGCGUUGUUCGGAAUUACUGGGCGUAAAGAGUGUGUAGGCGGUGCUCUAAGUUCGGUGUGAAAUCUCCUGGCUCAACUGGGAGGGUGCGCCGGAAACUGGAGUGCUUGAGCGUGGGAGAGAAAAGCGGAAUUCCUGGUGUAGCGGUGAAAUGCGUAGAUAUCAGGAGGAACACCUGUGGUGUAGACGGCUUUCUGGACCAUAGCUGACGCUGAGACACGAAAGCGUGGGUAGCAAACAGG